UGAAGACAAGCUAUUUAGCAUUUCAUUUACACUGAAAAGAUUCUUAUAAAUAUAUAAGGUUUUCAA
rnacentral:tRNA from 1 species